UGCUGAAUGACCUGGUGACCUGGGCCAC
rnacentral:piRNA from 1 species